UACAGAGGUCUCAACCGUUGUUCGGAUUCAUUGGGCGUAAAGGGUGCGUAGGCGGUCGUGCAAGUCGGAUGUGAAAUCUCAGGGCUCAACCCUGAAACUGCAUUCGAUACUGCGUGGCUAGAGUGCUGGAGAGGAGACCGGAAUUUACGGUGUAGCAGUGAAAUGCGUAGAUAUCGUAAGGAAGACCAGUGGCGAAGGCGAGUCUCUGGACAGCAACUGACGCUGAGGCACGAAGGCCAGGGGAGCAAACAGG
rnacentral:rRNA from 1 species